AGCUCGAGUCCAAGCCCAAAAGUCUGGCUCUAGGUCAAGGCUGGGCGCGGCAGGCGUUGCGUUUUACGUGACAGCCAAUUUUUGCUUGUUGUUGUUGUUGUUGUUUUUGUGGUUGUUCAUUGUUGGUUGUUUGUUGUUGACACUUGCAGUUACAUCGAUAAGCACACGGUGAAAGCAGCGACGGCGACGUCGACUGACCAAGAAAUUAAUGAAACGAAAAGAGGCAUAAAAAUGGAAUCUAACUUGAACAAGUCGAACUUGAAAUGCUCUGAGAUGCGAGGGAGACAGAGCGAAGGUAGGACCGAAGGCCUGAAAGAGUCGGAAACACCGAAGGACUGAGAGAGAGAAGGAGAGAUCUAGUUGAAGUAAUAGAGAACGAAACAAAGAGAUGCACAGAGGCAAGCAAAGCAGAAGAAGGUGGAUCAGAGUUGGAAGGAGGGGAAAAGAGACAAGAAUAGAGGGAAUGAUGAAAGAGGAGCGAAAGAAGAAAGCAAGAUAAGAGUUUGGGAGGAAGAAAGAGGGGUAGACAUGAAGAAAGAGAUACAAAAUGAGAGCGAAAGUACAGAGAGGAAGAGAGAAGGAAAGAGACCCAUGCGAUUUACGUUGGCUAAUGCUACAUAUUGAAUGAACAAGUCUGAGAGGCCCUCGCAAGUUAGGGUAUUCGAAGAGUGUCGGUUGACACAUGUCAGGGGAAUGCGCUAGUUGAUUUGAGAUCUGCAACCAUAAAUUUGAUUUGUAGUUCCACUAUGUCAACAGCUGCUACGCCCUCCAUAGCCUCCCUCUAUGUACUACGCCUAGCUCCAACUCUUUUUCUGUAGAACUUCCAGAGACCGAAAUCAGUUCUUGCUGUGGGAAUCUUUAUUUUUUUGUUUUGGAGAAAAAACGAAAGUGCGCUCGAAAUGCAGAGGAAAAGAAAAGAGAAGAAAAAAUGAAAUGUGUAACUCGUCUAUUUAUCAGAAAUGGGUUCGACGAAAUGAGAAAAAGAAAAAACUGGGCUUGUUCUCAUGAUAUGUUAGCUGCAAUUGCGACUCGAGUUUACGGCUUAAUCUAAUUUCUAGUAGGGCAAAAGAGAAAACGAGCUUGGUACCAAAAAUUAAUAAGAAAUAUGAUAGAAAUUCCAAUCGAACCUGUGAAGAAUUGUGACUAGACUUACUUUCUUAUGGGUACAGAGAAUCUCUCUAGGGCGAAAACUGAACUCUUUAGCUAUAUAUUAUAUACAACGAUUGAACUGGCAGAAUUCCCCAUUCCGAACUUUGGGUCUUGAAAUAUAGCUCGCGAACUUGGAUAGCAACAAUAGUAUAUGCAAAAGGCGAGAUUACCUCUCACUGAACAAUUUCGUCUUGAGCCUUGCCUUAAUUCAAUUAAUACCCCAAAGUAUGUGUGGAGUUCAAUAGCAAGCUUAUGGCUAUUUCUAUUUGUUGUGUUUGUGUAUUCGAUUCGUAAUAUUAUAAAUUUUUGUGGGCCGUUAACAAAUUAAUUGUUACGCUCUUUAAAUGUUAAUCAAAAUAGACGCCAACGUUCGCACAGCUA